UACGUAGGGGGCAAGCGUUGUCCGGAAUCAUUGGGCGUAACGAGCGUGUAGGCGGCCCGGUAAGUCCGCCGUGAAAGUCCAGGGCUCAACCCUGGAAUGCCGGUGGAAACUGCCGGGCUGGAGUCCGGAAGAGGCGAGUGGAAUUCCUGGUGUAGCGGUGAAAUGCGCAGAUAUCAGGAGGAACACCGGUGGCGAAGGCGGGUCUCUGGGCCGAUACUGACGCUGAGGAGCGAAAGCGUGGGGAGCAAACAGG
rnacentral:rRNA from 1 species